UAGGGAUAGGGAAUUGCAAUUAUUUCCCCUGAACGAGGAAUUCCCCAGUAAGCGCGAGUCAUUAGCUCGCGUUGAUUACGUCCCUGCCCUUUGUACACACCCUCCCGUCGCUACUACCGAUUGAAUGGUUUAGUGAGGUCCUCCGAUUGGACCCGGUCCGGGCGGCGACGUCCGAGCCGGCGUCCGAGAAGACGAUCUAACUUGAUCAUUUAGAGGAAGUAAAAGUCGUAACAAGGUUUCCGUAGGUGAACCUGCGGAAGGAUCAUUA
rnacentral:ncRNA from 1 species